GGACAAAUCAUAGACCGGUGAUGGACAUAACUCAUAAAGCGAGGGUUAGGAUAAAUACAGUCUUUGUUACCAGUGUCCACAUAAAAAACAAAAAGUCUAGGCUGCAACCUAUUUAUUUCAGGUUGACAGAUAGAUUCAUGUCAUAUUAUUUCACUUUGGGCUGCAGGUAGAUUUACUCUUGUUAAUUAUCUUCUCAAAGAUAGAUAAAUCAUGAGUCAAUCCAUAACUAAUCAAAUUAAAUAAUAAAUAAGCAAAUAGACAAAUACGUAAAGAGGCUUAAGAAUGAGCCCUUGUGAAAUGUGCCAUGAAACAAAAUUUCAUAUUAAUCUAACUUUGAACACACAGGGUCCUUUUUUGUUUGUUUGUUUGUUUAUUAUUUUUUAACUUAAAUUUUCAUUUGUUAACAUUGAUGGGUAUUAAGCAAGGUCCUUUUUAAAAAAAGGUGAAAGGAGGCACUUCAUUCACUUUACAUGUCUGUAAUAUUUCAUUUUAUAUUCUGCCGUUCCUGAUUUACACAUUCCACCAUUGAUCAAGAUUUGAGUUUCUUUUCUUUUUUUUUAAAGUUUAUUUAUUUUGAGAGAGAGAGAGAGCACACAGGCAUAUGUGUGUGAGUGGGGGAGGGGCAGAGAGAGAGAGAGAGAGAGAGAGAGAGAGGAGAGAGAGAGAACCCCAAGCAGGCUCUGCACUGUCAGUGUAGAGCCCGAUGCUGGGCUCUAUCUCAUGACUGACUGUGAGAUCAUGACCUGAGCUGAACUCAAGAGUUGGACGCUCAGCCGAGUGAGCCACCCAGGUGCCCCAGAGAUUUGGGUUUCUAACAUGUUGAACAAGUAAAGAUGGAAAAUUACUGGUAAAGUAAAAUGAGAUGGUCCUGGAUUUUCUUUGUUAUGUAUUUUAAAAUUUGAACAAAUUAAAGAAAAGGAGGGCCACGCAGGGUUAUGAUGAAUGUGGGUUUGCAGAAAGAAUGACUGAUCUAUAUGUGUGACAGUAAGUCCACUGUAGAAAGAGAUCUGGGGGAUUAGCUCUGGGGGAAAUUAGACAAAAGACAGACAUUAGUAAUAUUCUUACAUCUUAUUCUUGCUUUGCUGUGAUUUAUGAAUAUGAACAAGUGAUUUUUAGUCAAUGAAUGAAUGGAUGGAUGAAUAAACAAAUGUAUAAAUGAGUAAAUGAAAAAGUCCCAAGCCUAGACCAAUGAUGAGUACCCUGGGGUGUCUGAACCAAGGAUUUUGAUUAAACCCUAUAACUCUGAGGUCUAUCAUAAAAACAAACCUAAUUUCUUUCCUUGGUGGGACAUGAACCGGGGCAGAAAUCAGGAACAUAGGUGUCUUGCUUGUGGCUUUGUACACCUUGGAGUCAGCAUACCCAGUCUGAUUUAUCCACUAUCCCGUGAUGAAGAUCUUGGCUGUCACUUUUAUGGAUAAGGAGCAAAGUGACUCAUCCUGAUUUUUACCUCAGAAUGAAGGCACCACGGUUGAUUUAAUCCUAUCUAAUGGUGAAGACUGUGGCUCUGUGGGUAAGGAGCAUUAAAUUCUGAGUCUGCAUUUUCACUAAGCGAACACACCACAGAUGAAGUAAUCAUUCUCUAAUGCUAAAGAUCUUGGCUUUAGCAAACUGUGGGGGUAAGGACAGAAGAAAUUGAUAAUGAACACACAGCUGAUUUAAUCGUUCUAUGAUCUUGAAGACAUGGCUGUGAAUUCUGGGACUGAGAAACAUAAAGACUGAGAAUGGAUGAACGAUGAAUCGAUUAUGGAGUAUAGAAACAUAAUGGAUGUGCCAGGCCAGUUGAAGCAUCUCCAUGGUCAUGAGCUGUUUGUUGCCUAGGAGCAUAGAGACCAGUAAUGGAUGCAGUUAAGCUGAUUCUCUGUGGUUGCCUCCAUUGUCAGGAACACAGACACUAAUAGUGGGCACACCAAGGUGAUAAAAGCCAUCUGCCACGGUUACAGGCUCUGUAUGUAGGAGAUGGAGACCAGUAGUGGAUGCCCUGGAGCUAAUUUAAGGAUUCUUCCAUGGUCACAAGGCGUCUGCUUGUCUCUGUGUCUUUGGUGUAUAGAAAUAAUGGACACAGCCAAGGUGGUUUAAAUAGUAUGCCUGUAGGAACAUGGAAACCAACAAUAGGUACAUGCGUGAAGUUGGGUUGAAGCAUCUUUCAUGGUCACGAGCUCUGUGGGUGCCUUGUCUAAUGAGCAUAGAGGCCAACCAUGGAUGCACUUGAACUCACUCAGGUGUUUGGCCGUGAUCGGAUGCUCCAUGGAUGCCCCUUGCGUGUAAGAGGAUGGAGACCAAUAAUGGAACCCCAGGAUGAUUUUAGCUUCUGCUCUGAUCAAGAUCGACAUGUUGCUUCAGUGUUGGAGAGAGACCAAGGAUGGACAUACGCAAGCUGGUCGAAGAAUUCUUCCAUGGUCACAGUCCCUGUGGUUGCACCUGUGUUCCAGAAAGAAAACACCUGCGCCGAUUUAAGCGUCCAUCAUGUUUACGCACUCCAGGGUAGCCUCCUGUGUGGGAGCAUGAAGUCCAACAAUCAACACAUUCCAGCUGAUUCAGAUUUUCUACGGUCAAAAGGUCUGUGAUUUCCUGUGUGUUUGGGCCAUGGGGAUGAAUGUGGACGCACGUGAACUGAUUAAGCACUUGGCUGUCAACAGGGGCUCCACUGGUGGUCCUUAUGUUGGUGCAUGUAGACCAAGAUGCCCCAAGGAGAUUUCAGCUUCUGUCAUGGUAAAGAUUGUCAAGAGACCAAGAUGACCAAUGGUCAAAGUUCUAGUCUUCGUUUGGG